UACGUAGGGUGCGAGCGUUAAUCGGAAUUACUGGGCGUAAAGCGUGCGUAGGCGGUUCUCCAGGUCCGAUGUGAAAUCCCCGGGCUCAUCCUGGGAACUGCAUUUGUGACUGCACAGCUGGAGUGCGGCAGAGGGGGAUGGAAUUCCGCGUGUAGCAGUGAAAUGCGUAGAUAUGCGGAGGAACACCGAUGGCGAAGGCAAUCCCCUGGGCCUGCACUGACGCUCAUGCACGAAAGCGUGGGGAGCAAACAGG
rnacentral:rRNA from 1 species